CGGGCCGGCGGCAGCAGCGCGGAGGCGGCGGGAGGCGGCGGGGCCCCGCUCCAGCUGGCUUUGUCAACCAGAAGCCCACCAGGCCCAGAGAACAACAACCUCGACCAUCAAUGCCCAGAAAGCAACAAGAAGCCAUUGGGGCAGCCGACAAUAUUGUAUGAUUACUCGGAGGAGGAGCUCAUGGCAAGCAUCGAGCGGGAGUACUGCCGCUGAAUCCAGUUCCCUGCCCCGAGAAUGUCGGGUGUGAUCCUGGAGGCCCAGCUGAGCCGAACUGCUGCUGACAAGACAACGUCUCACACAGCGAGACAGCACGGCAGAGGGGGGUGGUGGAGGUACUGCAGUGUGAGAGGCAGCACGGCUGCUUGGGAAGCACGGAGGAGAAAAGUUCACCUGAUCAGCUCCAAAGAGCGUGAAGAUCCUCUCCAUCUGCUGAUUUCUGAUUGGUGCCACUGGAAGAGGGAUCAACUCAUCUUAAGAAUCAAUAUUUAGAAGCUCAUUUCUCAAUGCUGUUUAUAAAUGAACGUGUACUAGAAUUAAGGGUCAUACUAGAGGUGUUGAAAUGUGGUGCUUUGAAGGAAGAUCUUGCUUUGAAGGUAUUAAAAAAAAUGCAUCAAUAUUAUCUGAUUCAGAACUUAAGGGGAUGUUGAAUGAAAUCCAUGUUUCUGCCACUUAAAAUGUGCCAAAUGUUCUCCUUGUGCUGUGCAAGCCUCAGGUCCAGGUCUGAAUUUGGCACCGUCUCUUUCAAUCUGGUCUCCAGUAUGGAAGAUAAAAGAGAAAGGAGAUUGAGCCCACCAUCUAGUACAUAUGCAGUGUAAAUCCAGAGUUCAAAUCCUACCACACUGGCAAAUUAGCCUCCUGGGAGCCAUCAGAGAACACAGGAUUUGUGUGAGCCCUUUGGGGCAGGAUCCCAGCACAGGUCCUACCUGAGGCUCCUGGGCAUGGAUCCAUCCCAGUGAUGGGAGUGAAAGCAG